rnacentral:rRNA from 1 species
GAUUAUGGCUCAGGACGAACGCUGGCGGCGUGCUUAACACAUGCAAGUUGAACGGUAUGACAUGGAAGCUUGCUGAAGUGUCAUAUAGUAGCGGACGGGUGAGUAAUGCAUGAGAAGCUGCCAUUGGGAGGGGGACAACAGUUGGAAACGGCUGCUAAUACCCCGUAUGCCGGAAGGUGAAAGGGAGCGAUCCGCCCGAUGAGGUGCUCAUGUCCUAUCAGCUGGUUGGUGGGGUAACGGCCUACCAAGGCGACGACGGGUAGCCGGCCUGAGAGGGUGAACGGCCACACUGGAACUGAGAUACGGUCCAGACUCCUACGGGAGGCAGCAGUGGGGAAUAUUGGGCAAAUGGGGGCAACCCUGACCCAGCGACGCCGCGUGGGGGAAGACGGCCUUCGGGUUGUAAACCUCUUUUGUACGGGAAGAAGGAAGUGACGGUACUGUACGAAUAAGUCCCGGCUAACUACGUGCCAGCAGCCGC